UCGUUGCUGUUGCGAACCCUACUCCAGCAUCCCGCAUCCUGCAAAGUAGCCGCGUCGGCCUCAGCCUGCGAGAGACGGCGGCGCGAGGUGCGACGACGGCUGGUGACCGGGGCGACCGAGCUAUCGGCGGAGUUGCUCACGACCGUUCCCAUGCACGCAGCGGCGAGAGUUUCGUUGUCGGUGGGGACCCGGACGAUCGCGGUGUCGACGCUGUAUGAGGCGUCGCCGUCGGUCGAGUUUGCGUCGGGUUGAAGGUUUGUGUCGCCGGCGUUUCCGAGGGUCAUAUCUGUGCCGUUGAACGCGGUCAGG
rnacentral:lncRNA from 1 species